rnacentral:rRNA from 1 species
UGAGGAAUAUUGGUCAAUGGACGAGAGUCUGAACCAGCCAAGUAGCGUGAAGGAUGACUGCCCUAUGGGUUGUAAACUUCUUUUAUACGGGAAUAAAGUUCAGCACGUGUGCUGUUUUGUAUGUACCGUAUGAAUAAGGAUCGGCUAACUCCGUGCCAGCAGCCGCGGUAAUACGGAGGAUCCGAGCGUUAUCCGGAUUUAUUGGGUUUAAAGGGAGCGUAGGUGGACUGGUAAGUCAGUUGUGAAAGUUUGCGGCUCAACCGUAAAAUUGCAGUUGAAACUGGCAGUCUUGAGUACAGUAGAGGUGGGCGGAAUUCGUGGUGUAGCGGUGAAAUGCUUAGAUAUCACGAAGAACUCCGAUUGCGAAGGCAGCUCACUAGACUGCAACUGACACUGAUGCUCGAAAGUGUGGGGUAUCAAACAGGAUUAGAUACC